rnacentral:ncRNA from 1 species
AACAAGACGUUGAAGAGGAUCAGUAAGUGAUGAUGUAUUCCAGAGAGAAGGCCGGAUGGUGGAAGGCCUUUAUACCUCUCAUGACCCAACCUCCCUCGGAGUCCCGCAGCAAACUGCGGCGCAGUCCUGCGUUAUGGGAGAUAAAGUGAGUCAUGGCAUUCUAUGGCUAAAUUGGGUGGCACCGCCGAGCUGUUCGGUCCCUUUC